UUCAGAGUUAGGAUUCUGUGGGGCCACUUUGAGAAAUCAUGGUCCCAGCAGAAAACAGAUGAGUGAUUGGAGGAGAUUUUAAUGAAGAAAUGAUUUACAAAGCAUGGGUAGGAUCUAGAGAAAUCAGGAGAGAUAUUGGAAUACGCUGGGGCUGGCCAACAAGGAGACACUUCCUCUGGUCCUAAAUGGGCAGGACAGGAAGCCCUUAUUAGUCCUUGCAGAGGGAGCAUUCAUGGGGAGGACCUCCUAAUAGGAGCUGCGGCCAGUCUGUGGUGACACCUCUUUCUUCGAUCCCCUGUUGAUUUUCUGUAGCUAAACCCCAAGGGAUGCCAGGAGUAACGGCAUUAUAGUCAGUUACCUGAUGAAUAGACGUGAUGUUUGCCACUUCUGGAUGAAGCCUUUCGAAGAAUAAGAAUUCUUCCUCCAUUCUCUGUUCGACUGGCUGGAUGCAGAUGAUAAGAAGGCCACAGAGAAGCCACAGGAUGGAAGGAACUUUGGUUCCUGAAUCAAUGCAUGUAGAAAAGCUGCCUGCUGACCUGAACACCUGUUGUGAACUGUUAUAUAAACAAGAAAUAAACUUCUGUUGUAUUUAAGCCACUA